rnacentral:rRNA from 1 species
UUUAAGUCUCCUGAAGGAACGUUGAAGACGACGACGUUGAUAGGUCGGGUGUGUAAGCGCAGCGAUGCGUUGAGCUAACCGAUACUAAUGAACCGUGAGGCUUAACCUU